GCCUAAAUUUUAGCCCUAAUUUUUCCUAUAAAAACCCCACACUAAACCACCGCCACUAAAACAUUCUAACAAUCUAGUACAGGCGAUCGAAAAACUUCUUAGAGCUAUAAAUAGUACUGCAAAGGAACAAUGAAAUAGAAAUGAAAGAACAUUAAAGCCCCACAUAGUAGAGACACACCCUCGUACCUUUUGCAUCAUGAUCUAGCAAGUCCAAGCAAGCAAAGAGAACUAUAGUCUGCCACCCCGAAACUAAGUGAGCUACUCCAAGGCAACUAAUAGAGUUAACCCGUCUCUGUGGCAAAAGAGUGGGAAGACCUUCGAGUAGAGGUGACAAACCUAUCGAACUUAGUGAUAGCUGGUUACUCAAAAAACGGAUGAAGUCCACCUUAAGCCAAAACAACACAACCUAGUACCCCUCAUUGCUUAAGAGCCAAUCAAAUAAGGUACAGCUUAUUUGACACAGGAUACAGCCUCAACCCCCGGGUAAUACACCCCCCCAACGACC
rnacentral:rRNA from 1 species